GAUGUAACGCUAGCGGCGUGCCUUAUGCAUGCAAGUCGAACGGUCUUAAGCAAUUAAGAUAGUGGCGAACGGGUGAGUAACGCGUAAGUAACCUACCUCUAAGUGGGGGAUAGCUUCGGGAAACUGAAGGUAAUACCGCAUGUGGUGGGCCGACAUAUGUUGGUUCACUAAAGCCGUAAGGCGCUUGGUGAGGGGCUUGCGUCCGAUUAGCUAGUUGGUGGGGUAAUGGCCUACCAAGGCUUCGAUCGGUAGCUGGUCUGAGAGGAUGAUCAGCCACACUGGGACUGAGACACGGCCCAGACUCCUACGGGAGGCAGCAGCAAGGAAUCUUGGGCAAUGGGCGAAAGCCUGACCCAGCAACGCCGCGUGAGGGAUGAAGGCUUUCGGGUUGUAAACCUCUUUUCAUAGGGAAGAAUAAUGACGGUACCUGUGGAAUAAGCUUCGGCUAACUACGU
rnacentral:rRNA from 2 species